rnacentral:misc_RNA from 1 species
GAACGCAACUUGCACUCUCCUUUGGGAGAGUAUGCCUGUUUGAGAAUCUAUUCAAAAUAUCUCAUUUAUUUUAUUUUAUUAUAAAAUUAAUUUGGAGAAUGAGUUUUCUUGCUUUUUUUUAUUAAAAAUAUGAGCAAGUGACUUGAAAUUAAGAUUGAAGCAUCUCGUAUGACUUUUAAUCAUAGAACCGUGUUUGUAUAGAAUUAAACCUUGGUUUAAAAUCUUCCUACUCAUAGUAUAUGAUUAAUAUAAAGAAAUACUUUAUUGUUUCGCAUCCAAUGAUAUCAAAAGAAUAACUUUGGUUAUUUUUUUGAACUCUUGGUCUCAAAUCAGGCAGGAAAACCCGCUGAACUUAAG